rnacentral:rRNA from 1 species
ACAGCCACAUCAUGUUGAAACAUUGGUUCCCAUGUGAUCACCAAAGUUAAGCAACAUCAAGCCUGGUUAGUACCUAGAUGGGUGACCACUUGAAAAUACCAGGUGCUGCAAG